UGGCUGAGCGGUAAAGCGCUUGGCUUACAAACUGGAGGUCCCGGGUUCGAAUCCUGG
rnacentral:tRNA from 1 species